rnacentral:rRNA from 1 species
AGCAGCCGCGGUAAUUCCAGCUCCAAUAGCGUAUAUUAAAGUUGCUGCAGUUAAAAAGCUCGUAGUUGAAUUUCGGGAUCAAUAUGUUGGUCGUGCCUCGGUACGUACUAGCUUAUUGGUUUCUCCCUUCUGACGAACCAUGAUGUCAUUUAUUUGGUGUUAUGGGAAAUCAGGACUGUUACUUUGAAAAAAUUAGAGUGUUUAAAGCAGGCUCACGCUUGAAUACAUUAGCAUGGAAUAAUGAAAUAGGACGUUUGAUUCUAUUUUGUUGGUUUCUAGGAUCGACGUAAUGAUUAAUAGGGAUAGUUGGGGGCAUUAGUAUUCAAUUGUCAGAGGUGAAAUUCUUGGAUUUAUUGAAGACUAACUACUGCGAAAGCAUUUGCCAAGGAUGUUUUCAUUAAUCAAGAACGAAAGUUAGGGGAUCGAAGACGAUCAGAUACCGUCGUAGUCUUAACCAUAAACUAUGCCGACUAGGGAUCGGAUGAUGUUAAUUUUUAAUG